AUUGAACGCUGGCGGCAGGCCUAUCACAUGCAAGUCGAACGAGUGGCGGACGGGUGAGUAAUGUCUGGGAAACUGCCCGAUGGAGGGGGAUAACUACUGGAAACGGUAGCUAAUACCGCAUACCAGUGGAUGUGCCCAAAUGGGAUUUGCUAGUAGGUGGGGUAACGGAUCUACAAGGCGACGAUCCCUAGCUGGUCUGAGAGGAUGAACGGCCACACUGGGACUGUGACACGGCCCAGACUCCUACGGGAGGCAGCAGUGGUGAAUAUUGCACAAUGGGCGCAAGCCUGAUGCAGCCAUGCCGCGUGUAUGAAGAAGGCCUUCGGGUUGUAAAGUACUUUCAGCGAGGAGGCGUUACUCGCAGAGGAAGCAUCGGCUAACUCCGUGCCAGCAGCCGCGGUAAUUC
rnacentral:rRNA from 1 species